rnacentral:rRNA from 1 species
UCUGCAGAGAUGCGGAAGUGCCUUCGGGAACUGUGAGACAGGUGCUGCAUGGCUGUCGUCAGCUCGUGUUGUGAAAUGUUGGGUUAAGUCCCGCAACGAGCGCAACCCUUAUCCUUUGUUGCCAGCGGUCCGGCCGGGAACUCAAAGGAGACUGCCAGUGAUAAACUGGAGGAAGGUGGGGAUGACGUCAAGUCAUCAUGGCCCUUACGACCAGGGCUACACACGUGCUACAAUGGCGCAUACAAAGAGAAGCGACCUCGCGAGAGCAAGCGGACCUCAUAAAGUGCGUCGUAGUCCGGAUUGGAGUCUGCAACUCGACUCCAUGAAGUCGGAAUCGCUAGUAAUCGUGGAUCAGAAUGCCACGGUGAAUACGUUCCCGGGCCUUGUACACACCGCCCGUCACACCAUGGGAGUGGGUUGCAAAAGAAGUAGGUAGCUUAACCUUCGGGAGGGCGCUUACCACUUUGUGAUUCAUGACUGGGGUGAAGUCGUAACAAGGUAACCGUAGGGGAACCUGCGGUUGGAUCACCUCCUUACCUUAAAGAAGC